UACAGAGGUCUCAACCGUUGUUCGGAUUCAUUGGGCGUAAAGGGUGCGUAGGCGGUCGUGCAAGUCGGAUGUGAAAUCUCAGGGCUCAACCCUGAAACUGCAUUCGAUACUGCGCGGCUAGAGUGCUGGAGGGGAGACUGGAAUUUACGGUGUAGCAGUGAAAUGCGUAGAUAUCGUGAAGGAAGACCGAGUGGAGCGAAGGCCGAGUCGUCGGACAGCAACUGA
rnacentral:rRNA from 1 species